CAGCGCCACGAGUGGUAACCGCGAUUAUUGGGCCUAAAGCGUCCGUAGCAGGUUUAGCAAAUCUUUUGUGAAAUUGUGCGGCUUAACCGUACAACGUGCAAGAGACACUACUAAACUCGAGACCGGGAGGAGUCAGAAGUAUUCCAGGGGGAGCGGUAAAAUGUUAUAAUCCCUGGAGGACUACCUAUGGCGAAGGCAUCUGACUAGAACGGAUCUGACUGUGAGGGACGAAAGCCAGGGGAGCGAACCGGAUUAGAUACCCCAGUAGUCC
rnacentral:rRNA from 1 species